UACGGAGGGGGCUAGCGUUGUUCGGAAUUACUGGGCGUAAAGCGCACGUAGGCGGCUUUGUAAGUUAGAGGUGAAAGCCCAGGGCUUAACCUUGGAAUUGCCUUUAAGACUGCAUCGCUAGAAUCGUGGAGAGGUGAGUGGAAUUCCGAGUGUAGAGGUGAAAUUCGUAGAUAUUCGGAAGAACACCAGUGGCGAAGGCGGCUCACUGGCCCGGUACUGACGCUGAGGUGCGAAAGCGUGGGGAGCAAACAGG
rnacentral:rRNA from 1 species